rnacentral:lncRNA from 1 species
UAGAUGAACAAUAUAAGCUGCCUUUAGUGAUUGUCAACAUCUGAUGUUAAGUCCAUGCCCCAUGGAAGCAGUCCUUAGUAUGGAUUACAUUUGUAUUUUUCACUAACAGUAAAUGUAUUUUUCUUAUGAAUUGUUUGCCUUAGGAAUGAUGAAUUACAUUUUUUGUUCCUUCUUACCAUAAACAUCUGCAUCCCUCAGCUCAGCCUCCCUUGUAUGUUGUUUCUUUAUAAAUGGUUGAGCUGCUGAUGCAGGUAUUGCCAAGCUAACAGUACAAAUCAUUUUAAAGAGGAAGCUGGCGCGUAUGGCAGCCGAGGAGCACACUCUGCAGGACACUGGACAAGACAGUAAAUACUCAACUUUUAAUGCUGAUUAAAGGAGUAUAGGUAAAGAAUACGUAGGUAUCCAUAAUUGGUGAGACAAAUAUUCACUUUAUUUAUAUUUUAUAUAUAUUUUUAAUUUGGUAAAUACUAUCCAGUUUUGUAGUUGUCCUUGUUGAUUUGUGUGAUAUUAAAGUAUUAGUAAUAAUUGCCCGGAGACUACUAGGGAGGGUUUAGUCGGUUGCUGUUUUGGACUGGGAGGGGUGAUUUAAAUCUAGUGUUAGAAACCAAUUUUUUAGUGGCUGCACAGUAUAUCAUUGUCAGACAGAAAGGUGGCUGUAGAGCUGCCCUGUAAGUCAGAUCAACAGAGCUGAGAGGAAGAUUAGUAAAUAUUUGCUGUAGAGGCAAACACUUUAUUUUUCUAACAUCGCAACAUGUCCUCCCCUUUAGGAGGAAGAGAGAGCAAAGCGUGAGGAACUGGAGCGGAUAUUAGAAGAAAAUAACCGG